UACAGAGGGGGCAAGCGUUAUUCGGAAUUAUUGGGCGUAAAGGGCGCGUAGGCGGUGGUGCAAGUGGAAGGUGAAAUCCCUCGGCUCAACCGGGGGCACUGCGUCUGAGACUGAAUGGCUUGAAUCCGGGAGAGGAAUGCGGAAUUCCAGGUGUAGCGGUGAAAUGCGUAGAUAUCUGGAGGAAUACCGGUGGCGAAGGCGGCAUCCUGGACCGGCAUUGACGCUGAGGAGCGAAAGCUAGGGGAGCAAACGGG
rnacentral:rRNA from 1 species